AGUAGUAUUUAUCAUUAAUCAUCAUCUUCAUCAUCAUCAGAAUGUGAACAGCUCAACUUCACUGAACUCUGUCAGGCAUAUGCAGAAGUCCGUGUCCAGUGUUGUGAUACAGUUGAAGCUGUGAUCCGAUUGGUCAUCACUGCUCUGAUGGGCGUGGCUGCUGCGGCUGCUAUUGUUGUUUUGGUCAAUGACAUCAGAUCUUACAAGAACUCUUAAAGUUGAAAACAGAACAGAAAUCCAUAAAUAUUGUUUAAUUUCUUGGUUUCAAUUGUUUUAAUCUGCUAAGAUAAAAAUAUGUGAGCGCACAUACCAGUGCUUUCCUCUGAACUCUAUCAAAGGUUUCCAGUACAGUUGUGGCCAUAUUCUUCAAUAUUUCAUUUGAAUCUGUAUUGACAUUUAUUUUAUACUUUGUCAAUUACACUGUUUUU